rnacentral:lncRNA from 1 species
UUCUACCUUGCCCUUUUUGACACCAAAAAUUCCAACAAAUAUUCUCCAUAUCACAGUGAAGAAAUUUUGGUAAUAAAAAACAUGACAUUAAGUAGGUAGGAAUGGCUUGUAGAACUGAUUUUAUGAAAACUUCCUUACCCCUUGCGAUAAAUGUCUAACACUCCAACUGUCUAUCCUACUCUCCAUGCCAUCUUUUAACAGUUGAAAUGUCAAUCUCUU